rnacentral:tRNA from 1 species
GCCCUCGUAGCUCAGCUGGAUAGAGCAGCGGAUUCCUAAUCCGCAGGUCGCACGUUCAAAUCGUGUCGGGGGUA